rnacentral:lncRNA from 1 species
CAGGUUUUCCAGAGGACCAGCUUUCGCUUUCUGACCAGCAGAUUUUAUCUUCCAGGCAAGGACAUUUGGACCGAUCUUUUACAUGUUCCACAAGAAGUGCAGCUUAUAAUCCAAGCUAUUACUCAGAUAAUCCUUCCUCAGACAGUUUUCUUGGCUCAGGCGAUUUAAGAACCUUUGGCCAGAGUGCAAAUGGCCAAUGGAGAAAUUCUACCCCAUCGUCAAGCUCAUCUUUACAAAAAUCAAGAAACAGCCGAAGUCUUUACCUCGAAACCCGAAAGACCUCAAGUGGAUUAUCAAACAGUUUUGCGGGAAAGUCAAACCAUCACUGCCAUGUAUCUGCAUAUGAAAAAUCUUUUCCUAUUAAACCUGUUCCAAGUCCAUCUUGGAGUGGUUCAUGUCGUCGAAGUCUUUUGAGCCCCAAGAAAACUCAGAGGCGACAUGUUAGUACAGCAGAAGAGGAAUAUGAAGUCUUCUACAAAAUUAACAAUUAAGAUGAUGUCACCACUGCACUGCUCAGUCUUACAACAGAGGUUUGAAGAGAACACAUGAAGAAGAAUUUAGAAAUAUGCAAGUAGUGGCUGUGCAGAAUGGCUGAUGCUCAAGAGGCAACAUCAAAAAGCUGUGCUAUUCAGUAGGGUAACGGCUAGCCACAAGCACUGUUUAAAUUAAUUCAAAUUCAAAUUGAAAAUUUAGUUACUCAGUGACACUAGCCACAUUUUAAGUAUUCAUUAGCCACAUGUGGCUAGUGGCUACCAUAUUGGACAGGGCAAAUAUAGAACAUUUCUAUUACUACAGAAAUUUCUGUUAGAUAAUGCUGUUAUAGAGGAUAUAAAGUUCUGUUUGGAAAAGAGAAAAUACUUGUGACA